UCAUUAGCCGACUUAAGCUUUCUACACCGCACACGUGAUGUGGCAAACCCAGUCUAGGGGCCACAUCAUGGUUCGCAGCCACUGGAAGUUCGUCUCGAUCUGUAAUUCGAUUUCCUCCACUAAAACAGCCUUCCUCUCCUCAUGCCCGAUUUCAUUCAUUGGAAGCCUUCCUCAGUUCCUCUGCUCAUGCCCCCUCUCCCUCGUGUUCCUUUCUCCUGUUCUCCUCUCUCUCUCUCUCUCUCUCUCUCUCUCUCUCUCUCUCUCUCUCUCUCUCUCUCUCUCUCUCUGUACUCCUGUCUUUCGUGCCUCUCUCUGUGAUCCUAGGGCAAAGUCGUCCCUUGCAAACUCUAGUCGAUGUCAAAGAGAAGACCGUCCCUACAUCCAGAUCUAUGGCCACGCCAUAGUAAGUUUUAACCAAAACCUGGUUUUUGAUUCCCCAGUACAGUGACGUGGUAAAUAUCCCCCGAGUCACUACAAAUAUCUCCCUCUCCGAUGGAAACGCUUAUGCUAGUGCAGGUGCUUCAAGCAAGGAUUCAAAUGGGUGUUCUUGUACCUACUGGAGAUAUGACUGCUGCCAGAUGAACAACACAGUUCUUCCUUAACAGUUUUGAAGAGCGGCUUGCUGCAGAAAGAAAGGAAAGAAAGCUAACGACAAAGGAGCCGGGGUUUAAAAAGCCAUUGAGGGAAGGUCUAUUAGCUAUUGCAGCAGAUCAGCCCUUUCAAUUUCCCGCCACAUUCACAUUUGUUAGAGCAUUUUCAGUUUUGGAUGGCAUUGAUUUGGAAAGGACCUUGACCCUCGAUUUGAUAUUACUGAGAUUGCCAAGCCUUAUGCGAUGGAGUUGUUAAGGUUGAAGGAAGCUGUGGUUGAAGUUAUCCUGAAGGCAAACUCAAAAUUCUCUUCACUUAUUAACAAGGAUAGCUUUCAGCCCCCAUCGAGGAGUUACAUUUGUAAUUUGUAACAAUUCUGUGGUAGAUGUCGGCAUUGUAGUCAUCUUUAACGGGAUGAAUGUCUACUCAUGGUGUAUAAUUUUAUAAUAUAAGAAAAAAUUAUUCAAUAAAAUGUGCUUCUUUUU